GCCUCUACGAGUGGCAGUGGCCGUGAUUAGCUGUGGCCUUCGCAGGACAUUUGCGUUGCGUUGCGUACUCCGUACUACUAAAUUGUUUUCGUUUUUCCCCACCUCCUUGUGCAAGGGUCAGUGCUCUCGAGCCAGGUCCAGCAAAAGAAAUGAUAAAGGGGGUGGCGCGAACCUCACGUGAGGUGUGUGCCACGAGCCUCUCUUCAAGUGUGCCGGCGCCACCAGAGCAGCGGCAGGGCCAGGCGCGCAGCGCCAAGAGUGUACUGGCCGGGCGCCAUCAAAAGUGCCAUUAACGGCGAGCCAAAGAGCCGGCAAAGUCGCCCCAGAGAGACGAGACGGCUCACUAUUCUCUGGUCGGUCGCCGGGGCCAACUAUUAGCACAGGGGCGAGCGGGAGACGGACGGAUCACGCAGGUAGGAGACGCGGUUUCUAAACCAAAGAAGGAGGGGGGCGGAAAAGUCGUAAUUGACUAGACAACCGAGUCCGCACCGGUACCGGCAGCAGCAGACGCAGUGGCCGCGGCCGCCGAAGUAACCGAGGACCUAGCAGUUCGAGGAGGAGCGGGCGCCGAUGCGGCAGGCGCCGUGGAGGGCGGUGCGGCUACCGGGGUUCUUGCGCGUGGACACCCGCGAGCUGCCGCGCCGCCUCGCCGACUGCUACCACGUCCAGCUGGACGAGCUGGCCCGGUCGGAGGCGCGGCGGAAGCUGCCUACGCUGCCGCAGUAGGUGUGGCGCAGCGGCUACGUGCUGUGGGGGCUCCUCUAGUAGCUCGGCCACUAGUGGCCCUGCGAGUUGCAGCACCUCUACCGGCGGCUGCGGCCGCAGGCCGCGCACCAAGACAGGAGGUGGUAGCCGUGGUACAUGUACUUGGGGGUGGCGCUGGGCCUGCGCGGCGAGCUGCUCAGCACGACCUCGCUGGAGCUGAUGACGUUUGUUUGGUUCUUGACCAUGACGAUGCGGUUCUGCUAGCGCCUCGCCCCGCGCACCCUCCGCCGCGCCCGCGACCCCGACCUGGACCGCCACCACUAGGGCCACCACUGCGAGCCGCUCGACGACGUCGGCUCGUACUUGUGGUCGUGGUUCGUGUAUGAGUUCAUGGAGUGGCCGCUCCGGUUCCGCAUGCAGUUGCUCAGCGUGCGGAUGCACGUACAGUUCCUGCGGCGGCUCCGCGUGCAGUCCCACGAGCUCCGCGGGUUACGGCCCCCUGCCGCGAUGCAGACGCGUCUCUCCUGCGACGUAGCGCCGCUCGAGACGGCCUAGGAGCGGCCCGAGAAGGGCCUCAUGGGCUAAGGGUGUUCUACGUUCCUGCUCCACUUAGGCGGUUUCUUCCCAAUGUUCAUGUGGUUGGUCGGAGAGUUCCUGGACCCGUAGUUCAAGUGGGGACACGUUCUUAUGGAGAUACUUCGCCACUUUAGAGACGUUCUCUUCCCUAAGUAUGUGUUCCGAAGGCCGUGGUUCCACGGACGAUCAUCUCCCUCGAGCGACGGAGUCUUAAGUUGCCGCGGGUACAAAUACAGCUUUGAAACUACCCGAAGACGUGUUUCAUUGUUACGUCAAGCGGCAGUUCCCUUAACAUUAAGUAAGCUAAUUCACUAUUCAUACAACGACCGGUCAAGAACAUACAUCGACGGUUGAAACACAUCCUCGCGGCAUGCACAACCGGACGUGACAACGGACCUUGUCGUGUGACGAUGUCUCGUUGAAGUCACUAUGCAUGUACGGUUUAUAAAAGGGACCAGCUACAGGAAGGGGGUCUUAGAUCAACAAGUAGAACAGACUGAGUCGCCCAUGUUGUUUGGCUAGUUGAAUCCGUUGUCACGUAUGUUACGCACGGGAGAAAGUUCGGAGCAAGCAUCUCCAAUAUGACAAAACCGGUAUCGAAGACGAACAACAAGCACUACUAGAACACAUACGCGAAAGAGACUGAGGGUAAGCAUAGAACACAUACGUAUGGACACCUUAGUCAAAGUAAGUUGUGUCUCUAAUUAGUAAGUCACUUGGUUCACGAAGGAUAGACUACUUCUUAGUUGAUACCAGACGCUAUGUUACCAGCUCGGUAUGGAAGGUUUACCUACGGCGUACGUAGAUAGUCUACGUCUCCGACCCCCACUAGGAGGAAGAUUUUUUUUUGAAGGUUUACCUACUUCUUACCUUUUAACUACGGUACGUUAAACAAUAAUAUAGCAAUUAAUUCGAUACAUGACAUAAAACGUACACCUUCAUCUGAUCGUGAAAGCAACCUGCUC
rnacentral:rRNA from 1 species